rnacentral:ncRNA from 1 species
AUCUUUGCGACAGAUUUUGGUCUGUUUUUUCUUCAGAAAAAAUAGUUAAAAGGGAAUCAGGUGUAAAUCCUGAACAGACCCGCUACUGUAAGUUCUACACAAAGUCUUUAAACAUUUACUAAUGCCAUUGUUCGCCCCGGCGAAUGAGAAGGCCGUUUAAAGAUAGAACAAGUCAGGAGACCUGCCACGAUCAUAUAGUUUAA